GACGAACGCUGGCAGCGUGCUUAACACAUGCAAGUCGAACGGAAAGGCCCUGCUUUUGUGGGGUGCUCGAGUGGCGAACGGGUGAGUAACACGUGAGUAACCUGCCCUUGACUUUGGGAUAACUUCAGGAAACUGGGGCUAAUACCGGAUAGGAGCUCCUGCUGCAUGGUGGGGGUUGGAAAGUUUCGGCGGUUGGGGAUGGACUCGCGGCUUAUCAGCUUGUUGGUGGGGUAGUGGCUUACCAAGGCUUUGACGGGUAGCCGGCCUGAGAGGGUGACCGGCCCCAUUGGGACUGAGAUACGGCCCAGACUCCUACGGGAGGCAGCAGUGGGGAAUAUUGCACAAUUGGCGGAAGCCUGAUGCAGCAACGCCGCGUGCGGGAUGACGGCCUUCGGGUUGGAAACCGCUUUCGCCUGUGACGAAGCGUGAGUGACGGUAAUGGGUAAAGAAGCACCGGCUAACUACGUG
rnacentral:rRNA from 1 species